AGCCACAGUUAUAUCACCCUGCAGCUCGAGACUGGUUACUCACGGAAGCUAAGCAGGGCUAAGCCUGGUCAGUACCUGGCUGGGAGAUCACAUGGGAAAACUAGGUUGCUGUUUGAA
rnacentral:rRNA from 1 species